rnacentral:rRNA from 1 species
GACGAACGCUGGCGGCGUGCUUAACACAUGCAAGUCGAACGGAAAGGCUCCAGCUUGCUGGAGUACUCGAGUGGCGAACGGGUGAGUAACUCGUGGGUAAUCUGCCCUGCACUCUGGGAUAAGCCUGGGAAACUGGGUCUAAUACUGGAUAUGACCUUUCUCCUUAUGGGGUUUGGUGGAAAGUUUUUCGGUGUAGGAUGAGCCCGCGGCCUAUCAGCUUGUUGGUGGGGUGAUGGCCUACCAAGGCGACGACGGGUAGCCGGCCUGAGAGGGUGAUCGGCCACAUUGGGACUGAGAUACGGCCCAGACUCCUACGGGAGGCAGCAGUGGGGAAUAUUGCACAAUGGGCGGAAGCCUGAUGCAGCGACGCCGCGUGAGGGAUGACGGCCUUCGGGUUGUAAACCUCUUUCAGCAGGGACGAAGCGUAAGUGACGGUACCUGCAGAAGAAGCACCGGCUAACUAUGUG